AUUGAACGCUGGCGGCAGGCCUAACACAUGCAAGUCGAACGGUAACAGGAAGCAGCUUGCUGCUUCGCUGACGAGUGGCGGACGGGUGAGUAAUGUCUGGGAAACUGCCUGAUGGAGGGGGAUAACUACUGGAAACGGUAGCUAAUACCGCAUAACGUCGCAAGACCAAAGAGGGGGACCUUAGGGCCUCUUGCCAUCGGAUGUGCCCAGAUGGGAUUAGCUAGUAGGUGGGGUAACGGCUCACCUAGGCGACGAUCCCUCGCUGGUCUGAGAGGAUGACCAGCCACACUGGAACUGGGACACGGUCCAGACGCCUACGGGAGGCAGCAGUGGGGAAUAUUGCACAAUGGGCGCAAGCCUGAUGCAGCCAUGCCGCGUGUAUGAAGAAGGCCUUCGGGUUGUAAAGUACUUUCAGCGGGGAGGAAGGGAGUAAAGUUAAUACCUUUGCUCAUUGACGUUACCCGCAGAAGAAGCACCGGCUAACUCCGUG
rnacentral:rRNA from 1 species